UUAACAACCCCAGAGACUGAAAUGCUUUAUGCAUUCACCUGCCUGCAAAUGGAUCUUGCAGACAAGCACUGCCAGCUUCCUCCAUGGCUCUGCCUCUCCAGUAGGUUUGAACUCUGUGUUGAAAGGACAGCUUUUCAUCAUAAAGGAAUCCACUGGUCUCAAGGUGAUUUGGUUCUUGGCCUCU
rnacentral:sRNA from 1 species